CUCAUUAACGACUUGUACAAGUUGUCAUCAGUUUGUGCACAGCCUAUGGGCACUUCAGCCGAAAUCGUACGGACGCAUCUGAUUGGUCGAUGUCGUUAAAUCAAUGAAUAUUCAACAUGUAUAUGCUAUCAAACAGUACACCCUGUAUUGGAUGGGUUCGGGAAGUCACAUGUAUGAAUGAACGAUCAACAAACCUGUCAGCGUGUAUUUAUUAUGCCUACACACUAGACGUCGUGUGUGUAUGGUUGUACUUUUGAGUACGGAUUUUCAUCGGGAACUUUGACGUGCAUAUUAAAUAAAUAACUUCGUCUUAACUUGGUCUGACUUGGUUGAUAAACUUGAAGAACAAGAUAUAGAAGCAGCUGUCAAGUAGCCAGUUUUCUCAAGGCAUGCAACAUGCAAGAGAUCUGCUCACGUCGACGACAGGUCGCAAGGAAAAAGAAGAAGAAGCCGCCAUUUAUAUGCAUCAUGCCAACACACACACACUGCACACAGCGUGUAUUGAUUGAUGAAAGGCAAUGACACUUUUGUAAACAAAUGAUUUGCACCGGCCGAAUAUUCGAUGAAAUCAGUAGCCUUGCUCAAGGCAGUGGUGAUGGUUGGUGCAUACUGUGUUGGCAUCAUGAAAUCAACACAGGGUCACAUGGCAGCCUGACAGUGCAAGGGAAACACUCCUCGUUUAAGAAGGAAGUUCAUUCCACCCCUACCCCUAAGCUGCUGUAAAAACUGAAAGUUUGAUCUCCUGCCUUACUGCGAGUCAUGGGAAAAGUUAGCCGAGAUGGAUCUGCAUUGGAGUGAAGAUGUGUACACAAAAACUGAUACAACUCUAGACACUCAUUAAAUUACUCUGGUGCCUGAUUUAUAAAGAAAUGUUCAUACAAAUAAAAUAAUCUUAAUUGCAAUCCUCUGUUUAAUUGGUAACCAAUGAAGCGAUCUUAGAAGGAGCAUGGCAUCACGACGGCGAUUUAACCUAAAUAUAACACGAGCAGCCCAGUUCUGCAAACUGUGAAGUCUCUUUUAAAAUAUGCAUGUGGGUUUUCUGUAAGCAGCCCAUUACAACAAUCUAACCGAGAAAGAACAUGGCUGCGAAUCACAUGAUGUUAUGAAUCGUCAGAUACAUACUUCCUAAUCUGUGACACA